rnacentral:rRNA from 11 species
AACUGCAUUCAUUCUACAAUGUAGAUACACCCUCUGUCUGAUAUUGGAAGCUAAGUAGGGUAAGCUCUGGUUAAUAUUUGGAUGGGAAACCAUCAACGAAUAUCAGGUGCUGCGGGUG